rnacentral:rRNA from 1 species
UAACACAUGCAAGUCGAGCGGUAGAGAGAAGCUUGCUUCUCUUGAGAGCGGCGGACGGGUGAGUAAUGCCUAGGAAUCUACCUGGUAGUGGGGGAUAACGUUCGGAAACGGACGCUAAUACCGCAUACGUCCUACGGGAGAAAGCAGGGGACCUUCGGGCCUUGCGCUAUCAGAUGAGCCUAGGUCGGAUUAGCUAGUUGGUGAGGUAAUGGCUCACCAAGGCGACGAUCCGUAACUGGUCUGAGAGGAUGAUCAGUCACACUGGAACUGAGACACGGUCCAGACUCCUACGGGAGGCAGCAGUGGGGAAUAUUGGACAAUGGGCGAAAGCUGGAUCCAGCCAUGCCGCGUGUGUGAAGAAGGUCUUCGGAUUGUAAAGCACUUUAAGUUGGGAGGAAGGGCAGUUACCUAAUACGUGAUUGUUUUGACGUUACCGACAGAAUAAGCACCGGCUAACUCUGUGCCAGCCGCCG